GACGAACCGUGCGAACGUUAUUCGGAUUCACUGGGCUUAAAGGGCGCGUAGACGGAUGACCGCGUCGAUGGCUGAAAGCCCCCGGCUCAACCGGGGAAGUGGCCUCGAUACGGGUCGUCUCGAGUGGAGGAGGGGGACCUGGAACUUCCGGUGGAGCGGUGAAAUGCGUUGAGAUCGGAAGGAACGCCCGUGGCGAAAGCGAGGUCCUGGACUCCCACUGACGUUGAGGCGCGAAAGCCAGGGGAGCGAACGGG
rnacentral:rRNA from 1 species